UUCUCUUGUAAAGUGAUUUGAACCCCACAGCCAUGGCACUAGCGAGCAGGGUCAUCAGAGCUGCUCCAUUCUUCUGGAAGCUGCAGAGAAAGGGAGCCCAGAAACCUGGUAUGCUGGCAAAAAGGGCUGGAGUGCAAUGACACGAUCUUGGCUGACUGCAACCUCUGCCUCCCGGGUUCAAGCGAUUCUCCUGCCUCAGCCUCCUGAGCAGCUGGGAUUACAGUUUAUAAUCAGAUGUAAGUCUCUUGGGGAAUCUGACCUCAUACCUCAUCUAUGCAGUUCCUGUACAAGGUUCCUGACCUGUGGACGUUGACAAAGGAACGCACGCUGACACUCCCAUAUGAACAGCUGGCUGCUUCCCAGCAUCCUACGGGAGAGCUACCGGCUUCUAGGCAACGCUGCGUGUGAUCUGUGGGGGAGCCUGGCCACUCCUGGAGGUUCCAAGAUCAAAGAAACGCAUUCCGGAUGCGACGGAUUUGAUCUUGGAAAGCUGCUUUGAAGAUACGAUAGCUAUUCCCUAUUGUUCACUUUAAGGCAAACAAUGUAUACAUUUUUCUGUGUCAGGCUCCUCUGUGAAGUUAGUGAAACGGUAGCUUAGUUUGCUUCCAUCUCCUGUUCCGCCCUGCUGGUUUUCGAUUGUGCGUCACUGAAUUGCCAUCAGAAGUCCAGUCCCGACUGCGUGUGCGAGGCCAGGGAGGGAGGUGAGAGGCGGCCUCUCGGACACACUCUGCCAUGGGCCGGAAGCAGGAGGCACCCUCUUCGUGAUGAUCUCUGAGAGCUAAGGAGACACUCCAGCACCACCCUUUCUCCUGGUGCCCUGUCCAUAACUAAGUGUCCAGAAGUCUCCUCCACAGGCAUUUCUCUGCUCAUUAUCCUAGCAAUCCUGUGAAGGAGACGUGUUCUCCAUUCUAUAGGAGAGGACUCUGAGGUUCAGAAAACUCAAGUCAGAGAAAGCAUGAGGUUGGACUUCGCUGCUUGGCCCGUGUCAGACUGUAGGCUGCUGCUGGAGCUGUGCGGCUUUGGGUGGGUGGCCUGGGCGCUAUGUGUUCACCAAACGCACUUCCCUUCCAUCCUGGGUGCAAGGCGACCUCCAAUCCCAGCCUUUCCUGUUGGGCUAAGCAAUGGAAACAAGCAGUGGGGCCGUGCGAUCCAUGCAGAAUGGAUCUAGAACCUUCUGAGGACUGGAAGCCCUCAGAGGUGGACAGGGUGGGGAGACACAGAGACGGCCCAGGAAUGACCUUGUGGGAAGUCGCUUAUCCACCAGGAACUCUGGUGCUGAACUUUUUCUAAGCGAAAGUUAACUUCUGUUGGAUUAAGACCCUGAAGAUUGGGCUUUAGCACCUGUUGUGUUAGCUGCACUCAGACAAACCAGGGCUCCUUACUCAGCCCUCGGGAGCCUUGGCAUUCUCACCUCUAAAGCAGGAGGAGUCGUGAUACCUGCCUUGAGGAAUUUGAGCAAAGUUAAAUGACCUGAGCUAUUUGGGCGUUUCUUGACCAAUGUCCGACCUUGGGAGGUGCUGGAUGAAUUUUUAUUUCUCUACUUUAAGUCAGCCUUUCUACCUUGUUGCUCUUCUCAGCUGCCUUUCUCUGAGCCUCCUUCAUCACUUUGUUCAUUUCUGUGAGACAAAGAUCAUUACAACUGCCUUAAUAUUUCGGUGCAAGACGCGCCGUGACCUGACAUUGCUCUACCCCGCCUCCUGCCACGAUCAUUCUUUUGUAGCAAUAUUCCGCCAGCUUCAUUUCGUGCAGUGAGUGGAACAAGAGUCAGAACACCAGGGCGGCUGAGCCUGUCGAUCAAGCCUCCACGUAAUGACAGAUGUACUUGAGUCCCACAGUCAUAAGGAAGAUGAAGUCUCUCUCUGGCUGGACCUGGACUGCAGUCACACUGUAAGAGCUCCUCCUUCUACACCUCUGCCAGUGGGCGUUCGGUCAGAGACAAGCUAUGGCACCGGCUCCCGGACGCACGGGAGGACUCCUACCAGGGACAGAGUCCGCACAGGUGACCUGAGUGGCCGUGCACGGCCUUUGCUUCCGAGACGUGCCGGGAGCAGGUAUCUCCGCAGGCCCAGGCGCCUCUGGCAGCCUUCAGAGCAGGGCCCUCUUCAACAAGGUGAUAGCAGAAGGGAAGAAACGCAGAGGUCUGUCUCAGAGCUUAGAGUAACCCAGAAACUGGGUGCCCCCUUUCAAGGGAGAUCCGCGGGGUUUCGCAUCAGGAACCUGUUGAGGAACUUCCCGUCAGGCCCAGCAACACACCCAGGACCAAACCCCAUCAGUGAUGACUAAAAAAUGUGUGUGGGGGCUGGGCACAGUGGUUCCUGCCUGUCAAUCCGGCACUUUGGGAGGCCAAGGAGUGAGGCUCUCUUUAGCUCAGGAGUUGGAGACUGGCCUAGGCAGCAUAGUGAGGACCUAUUUCUACAAAAUAGUAAUAAUAAUAAUAAAGCCAGAUAUAGUGUUGCAAGCCUGUAGUCCAAGCUACUUGGGAGGCUGAGGUCAGAGGAUCUCUUGAGCCCAGGAGGUUGAGGCUGCAGUGAGCCAUGAUUGCACCACUGCAUUCCAGCCUGUCUGACACAGGGAGACCCUGUGAAGGAAAGAAGAGAAUGAGAGAGAGAAGAGAGAGCAAGAGAGAGAGAGAGAGAGAGAGAGAGAGAAAGACAGAGAGAGAGAGAGGAGAGAGAAAGAAAGCAGUUUUUCCUAAAUUAAAAUAAGUGUAUGUGUACAUAUAUGGAUCUCACACACACACACACCCCCUUUUAUUAAUCGCUCGCUGUGCACCAGGCACUUGCUGUCUGGUUUACGUCACCCUCUUGGUACACACAACCAUAAGCGUGUUUGAGGUGAAAACCUUAAUCAGCCUCAGUGUCCGGUCCCAGGUCCCAUAGCCAGUAGCCAGGGAAGCCACAGGCUGAAGCUGGGCCUGACCGCUAGGCCAAUGGUAACCACCAUGCCACCUGGCCCCCAAAGGGUCGUGUCCAGCUCUGGAUAAACUUGUCCGGUUAGUUCAGGUUUCACGGCGCGGCAUAGAGGACCCCGACGGUUCAUCACUCAUUGCUGUCUCCCCAGUUGGCUGUGGCCUGAAACUGCCUGAAUUCAGUCAACACUGUUGCCCUCUUGCAUCAGCCAUUCAGGGGGUGGGUACCCAUGGGAGGGCCUCAGCCAGGACAAAGGUCCACUUCUGUCUAAUCGUGUAACUUUAAAAUAAAGCUUUUGUGCAGGGACAGA